GAGUGGCGAACGGGUGAGUAACACGUGGGUAACCUGCCCAUCAGAAGGGGAUAACACUUGGAAACAGGUGCUAAUACCGUAUAACACUAUUUUCCGCAUGGAAGAAAGUUGAAAGGCGCUUUUGCGUCACUGAUGGAUGGACCCGCGGUGCAUUAGCUAGUUGGUGAGGUAACGGCUCACUAAGGCCACGAUGCAUAGCCGACCUGAGAGGGUGAUCGGCCACACUGGGACUGAGACACGGCCCAGACUCCUACGGGAGGCAGCAGUAGGGAAUCUUCGGCAAUGGACGAAAGUCUGACCGAGCAACGCCGCGUGAGUGAAGAAGGUUUUCGGAUCGUAAAACUCUGUUGUUAGAGAAGAACAAGGAUGAGAGUAGAACGUUCAUCCCUUGACGGUAUCUAACCAGAAAGCCACGGCUAACUACGUGCCAGCAGCCGCGGUAAUACGUAGGUGGCAAGCGUUGUCCGGAUUUAUUGGGCGUAAAGCGAGCGCAGGCGGUUUCUUAAGUCUGAUGUGAAAGCCCCCGGCUCAACCGGGGAGGGUCAUUGGAAACUGGGAGACUUGAGUGCAGAAGAGGAGAGUGGAAUUCCAUGUGUAGCGGUGAAAUGCGUAGAUAUAUGGAGGAACACCAGUGGCGAAGGCGGCUCUCUGGUCUGUAACUGACGCUGAGGCUCGAAAGCGUGGGGAGCGAACAGGAUUAGAUACCCUGGUAGUCCACGCCGUAAACGAUGAGUGCUAAGUGUUGGAGGGUUUCCGCCCUUCAGU
rnacentral:rRNA from 1 species